GGUCAGCGGCGGAGCUGGCAAGGAGCUUCCCUCGCCCACAGGUCACUGAGCAAAGUUGUUUUGUGUCCAUGCAUCGCAGCUCCCAUCCUGGGACAUAAUAAGGGGAGGAUUUGUAGGCAUUCCCAGGAAGGUACAAGCCGCCAGCUGUUAUUUAUCGGCUUGUGAAAGGAAAAACUCCACAUGGCCAUGUUUUAAAAUCCACCUCUUUAUGAACAGAUUGUGAUUUCACAUGCUGAAUAUGUUUUAUACAUGUCGUGCUUUUAGAGAUGUUGAGUGGACCUGAAGCACAGGUGAAAUGCUGAGGUGAUGUACAACAGCUCAGACUCGAUUUACAUGGCUGCAGCUCCAUGUAGUGAGGGUUGGACGUCUUGACUUGGUUGAUUUUUGAGGGAUUUUUCUGUACUGAUGCUAGUUUAAUUGAACUUAAGAUAAUGGUUGCUGGGGGCUGAGAGUGGAAGAGGCUAUUCUUUCAAUAAUUAUCAGAUCUCAUGUCAAGGAAACUGCUUUGUGUGAAAAAGAACAAGGCAGAACUAGGCUAUUACAGACUUGUGCACUCUACUAUCUAUUUUGGGCCAAGAUCCAAAAGCAUUUCAUGGUUUAAAACAGUGUCCAGAGAUUUCAGCUGGGAUAGAAGCCCAUUUCUCUGCAUUGAACAAGCAUAGAAGAAAUGUUCUGACACCAAAGACUUUGCAGUCUUGCUGAAACAACAGACAGAAUGGGGAUGGGAUGGAAGGAUGAAAGCAACUGGGACUGAAGCAGAGCUUAUACAGACGUACAAGGGCCUCUCUGAAAAUGUCUCCUAAUCUAUUGUGUUGACCCACAAUGUCAGAGGUGGAUAUUGGUGGUAUGGCAUUAGAGAAUGAACCUUCCUAACAGCAUUCCAUUACAUUUUGUUGCUGUGUGACAGCUGGCAGCAGAGGAUCAGUCUGACAAAAUGGCAUCUGACAUGGAAGCAUGUAUGAAGCAAAGGUAUCUCACUGAAUUCCUCCAUGUGAAAAAAAAUUGCAUCCCUUGACAUUCAUCGACUCUUGCUGAAUGUUUAUGAAGACCAAACAGUGGCUGUGAGCACAGUGAAGUGAUGGGUGGUGCAUUUCAGCAGCAGUGACAGUGACAGUGGAUCACCUCUGCUGGUGCAGAUUUUUAGGAGAGUGGCAUGCAGGCUCUUGUUCAUCACUCGUGAAAAUUCAUAGCUAAUGGUAGCGACUAUGUUGGAAAACAGUGUUUUGUACCUGAGAAUUUGCUUUAUCAAAUAGUGUUAUUGUGCUCUUUGUAUCUGUUUUUGUUUCUAUGGAAAUAAAUAGGAGGUGUUACUUUCGCAGCAACCUGUAUUUCACAUAACCCAAAUUCAAUGAUUUUCAGACUCAUCUUUUGGUUAAAUGUGAGACUUACGCAAGAAAUUAUGUAGUCUCUAGUGCCCUAACUUAACUUAAAAGGAAAGUAUAAUAAGAAUAUUUGAGCGAAAACUGUCCGGGGAGUGCUAACUUCUGUUAAAUAGUAAGUUGUACUUACUAGAAGUAGCAGGAGUUAUUACUACCAGGAGACAGCAGUAGGAGAAAUGGACUAUGGCAAGUAUAUCAAACAGACAAUAGAAUAACAAUUAAAAAACCUGAAACAUAAGG
rnacentral:lncRNA from 1 species